GUGCUCACUGUGGCAGCACAUAUGUUAAAACUAAAACAAUACAGAAAUUAGCACGGCCCCUGUGCAAGGAUGCCAUGCAAAUUCAGGAAGUGUUCCACAUUUUU
ensembl:snRNA U6 U6 spliceosomal RNA